GCGGCCCCGCGGCUGGGUCCCCUCCCGGGCUGAGGGCGGUCAAACGAGCCCCCAGCGCAGUAACUGGGGUCCCCACUGCGAGCGUGUGUGGUGGUGGGGGUAAUGUGUGUGUGAAGGGGGGGCAGAUGUGAGGGAGGGGGCACCGCCCGCCUCCCCCCGCCCGCUGUAGGCGCCCUGUGCCGCAGGUCGCCCGCAAAAGCCCGCCUGGUCGCCUCAGGUGAAGGUGUCUGAGGGGACAGUGGCCCUCCUCUGCCUUCUCCUUGUCCUCUUGGGGCCUCCCUCCUCGGUGCUGCCCGGGCUUUGCCCCCCGCCAUGCCUCGGGCUGCCCUGGGGCUUCCCUUCCCUCCCAGCUCCGUGGGGUGCUGGCUGCAGGCAGCUCGUUGGCAGGGCUCUCCUUCCCUGAGGAUGUGUUGCCUUAUUAAUGACCAUUUAUGAAGGGACAAAAUGGAGCACUGUGAUAAUCUCCACUGAACUAGAUAUCUAUACAACUUCUGCAUGCUGAGAGAUAAUUUCACCCCUUUCCAGCGCCGUUCCCAGACAGACGGGGUCGAAGCCCUUUGGGGCGGGGGCAGGGGAAGAUGGUGCCGCAGCCGCUGAAGAGGAAGGAAGCCCCGGAAAGGACUCAGCAGGCCCCGCGGGCAGCGGCCAGGCAAGAGCUUGGCCUGCGGCACGCACGAGCUGCUUGAGGCUGGGAGGGAGGCUGGUUGGCACGCCGUGACCUCAGAGCAGCGCCAGCCUUGGCAGAGGGGCCUGCGUGCUCUGACACAAAUUUGGGAGAGCUGGCGGUGGUAAGCAGCACAGCCAGCUGCAAUAGGUGUUGGCAGCUUCUACCCUCAGAGCAAAGCCAAAUAUUUGCUGCAGUACAACUGAGGAGCAGUUCUAGAAGCUGGAAUAGGACACAAGAAAAUUCUCUCCAGCCAUAACUGCCCAUCAGCUUCAAAGUAUGGAAUAGACAUUAAGGGAGUGACAUUCUUCAUGACUUAUUCUUCAUGACUUCACGACUUAACAUCUGGAAGGAUU